rnacentral:lncRNA from 1 species
CGUUUGUCCCAUCAUUCUUAACACUUUUUGAAACAGUUUUGGAGGCUCCCUUUUGUGAGUGUCUUUACAUGGCGUUACAAGAAAUCCAGUGAAUGUUGCUACCAAGUGACUUGGAUUAGAAAGGCAGUCCUGUAAAAAAUACUAGUGUGUCUUCAUUCACCUUAUUCACCAGAUCUGGCAUGGUAUAAUCCUGGUUCAUCCCCGAGGCAAGAUCAUCAUGAAAACUAAAUGUUUAGAAUCAAUUUAGGACACUGAGGCAGCAGUGAUAUCACCACUGAAGACACUCAUGAAAGAAGACUUCAAAAAGUGUCAGGAGUGAUGGGAAACAGCAAAGCUAGUGAUGCACAAAUUUCAGUGAUUGCUGCCACACAGACACAAUUAAAAGAUGAUCUUUGUUCUCAAGCUGUACUAGCAAAAGGAUUUUUCAGGAAAAUUUAAUCUCAUACUCAUCUUCCUG